GCGGCCGCCACCAUGCCCGUUGCCGCCGCCACCACGUGCCCUGCCCCUGGCCCGCGCCGCCGUCCCCUCCGCUGCCUAGGGUGCGCCGUCGCCGGGCCCCCUCCUUGGAUCUCACCGUUGGGGGAGGCAGGGAGGGAGGGGGUGGCCCUAGCCGCCGGAUCUGGGGAGGAGGACCUAUCUUUCCUAGGAUUAAAUUAGACCUUAGCUCUGAUUACCAACUGUAACACCAUAGGAAAAACAAAAACCAUCUUAGGAUGCUACUAAGCCACACUGGACAAAAGGGAAAGAUUUGACAGCAUCUCCCCUAAAACGCGAAUAUUGCGGAAGCAACAAAUAAUAAGAUAUGUAAACAGAUAAAGCACAGUAGUAUUAAUGAAAGAUCCUAACAUGAUAUCCAACGAUUAAAGGCAAGGUUUAACAAAUCUUAGCCAUCAUUAAGCAACAAACAAACUCUCAUAUAUAGAGAAGGACUUAAAUAUUAGAGCAUCAUAUCACACUAGAGAAUUUUUAUUAAAGAGAAGUAUGUGACGUACUACUACUUCCCCACCCCCAAGCAAAGCAUCCAUCCAUCAAGUACAUGAGAUGAUAAAACAGGGGUGAGAUAUAAAAUCUCAGCAAGUAACCGGCUUUAACAAACUAUUUAAACUACAAGUUCAUCGGACAAUGGUUUAACUAUUAUUAGCAAGCAUAACUCCUCAAUGAAAAAUAAUAAUAAUAAUAUCAACUCCAACACCCUCAUACAUGAUUAAAACCAAUUCAUCCCCAAACCUUGGAGAAGAUUCACUUGUCACCACCAUUGUCAAAUAGAUGCCAUAGAAAACCAAUAGCACCCUAAAUGCAAAUGCCAUGUCUCCUAUCUUCAUACUCAACAAAGUAUGAAGCUGCAUCGUUAUGCCCAAUAAACGAUGCUGCACUGGUACGGUCGUGGCUAUCAAGCGGCAACAUAACUCCAUAUGCCAUGCAUUGUGACGCAAUGAAAUGCAAUGCCAAGAUAGAUCACGCAGAGAGAGCAAACACCGCAUAUACUAGAUAAGUCUCUCCUGAUUUGACAACAUAAACCUCAUCCUAAUUAUGCCAACAAGAGCCAUUACCAAGUUAUAAAGUAAAGAACAAGGCAUAUAUAAUAACAAAAGUAAGAUGUGCAUAAACCUAUAAUUGAAUGGAUCAUAUUGGAUAAGUUAUCAUUCUGAAAUUUAAGAUGGAGGUAGAAAAAAUAGCAAAUUAAAACUUGUAGCAACCACCGCUACGUUACUUGCCUCCCAAUGAAGGAGAUAGUAGCUCUAAGCGUGAUCCGGAGCGUUACCAUCUAUUUUGACACAAUAAGGUCAGAGCAUAUCCUCAAACAACCAUAUGCAUACAGCAAGAAAAGCACUCGUAUAGCCCAACUCGUCAAACAAGCAACAACGGUGAACAUCGCCUAGGCUAACCGCAGCAAUGCUACUUUACUUUUUUGUAUCUUUAAAAUUGUAAAAGAUAUAACAGCAAGAAAAUACACCUUAGAAAGAUAAGGGAAAAAUCCUACAACUUUCUACAGAUCCUCUAUUUUUAACAUGAUCCCUAGUGUGAUAAAACUGCCGUUGAAUGUGAAGUACAGAAUCUGUCUGAAAUUUCGGACAGCAGCAUAAAAAAAUCCAUAUCUCCCAAACCCCUUGUCCAAAAAUUCUAAACGUUUUUUAGUAAAUACAACUAUGAGCAUCCUACAACUUUGUUAUUAUGGGUUUCCAUGAAUUCUAUACUUAAGAUCAUCUAAUAUAUGUCUGAACAUCUACUGUCAAAAUCUGGAUAUUCAGAAAGAGCGUCCAAAUAAUAUUCAAUAACUGAAGGUAUACUCCACCUUAAAAUGUGAAACUUUGACAGAAGUUAGACCUCACAAACCUCUACAACUUCUGUAUGAUCCACUUUUUGAGGAAAUGUCGUUUAGGUUGCCAAAACUACAAGGCCAGCAACACUGUCCGUGCUACAGGACAGCACACCUUAGAUCGACCUUCAAACCAUGUUUUCCCCACCAAAUCCACUAAUCCUCAUGACCAAGAGCUAUAUAAAAACAUCAAUUAGCAGAGACAAUGUGGAUUCACCUCACCUUGGUUGUCCCCUAAACCUAGGGCAGCAAGAUUGAGAUGGGGAAAAGCAAAUCUACUCCGAAGAUGCACCACAUCUUGGUCUUCUCCUCCUCCUCAAUCCAUUUUUCUCCUUUUCUCUUGGUUAUUGCUGCUAUGGAGGAGGUUCUAGAUAGGGGGAGGGUCAUGUGGAGAGGGAGAGAGACGUUCUUGGGAGGAUUUCAAACAGGACGGAGAGGGGGCGGCGCUAGGGGAAGGGGCUCGAUCCCCUAGGUCUUAAGGGAAAGGAUUUCGACUUGGGCCAAGGGAGUGGGCUGGUUUGCUAGGUCUUGGUCCAAAUUGGAUUAGGACCUCUGAAACCUUUUUUUUUCUAAGAAAAAUGUAAUGUUACAGCAAUGGACUACUGUUUGUAGCACUGGGUAUUCGCCAUUGAGCAAUGGACUGUUUGUAGCACUGGGUGUUCGCCAUUGAGCAAUGGACUGUUUGUAGCACUGGGGGGUGUUGUUGUUAGUUUAUACUUACUGAGAAGGGCAGAAAACCUGCCUAGAUUAGUUCCCAGUCAAACCGAAUACUGAAAACUAGGGAAAGUUGGAUAGGUACCAUUGAAAGAUGUACAUUAAAAGAUCGCUUAUUUGCUAUAUACCAUGGAAAGAUCACAAGUUUAUUGGUUUCUACCACUCCCAUUAACUUUGCUAAUGGGCAGACUAUUUUGGCCCCAUUCUGAGUUUUCUUCUUCUACGUCUCUUCCUGUUCAAACUCCACCCCUCCGGAGAGAGAGAGAGUUUGGUGAGUUCUUGGUCCUCCCUUGGCCUCCAUUUGUCGAUUUCUUGCCGCCUCCCCGAACGACAUCCUGCAACCAACGUCGCCAGCGUCCAGAAUGUUGCAAUUGCAGCGGAAGGUGGGGCCAUUUCCUAUUGCCACCGCAGCAGCCACGGCCUUGGCUAGUGAUGGCCCAAGAAAUCGAUUUCUUCUUUCCGAUGCAUCUAUUUUUGCUGUCCUCGCCACCGGGAAUAGCUGCUGGCGCUCUCAGCCUUGCUCAAAAUUGCCUCCGAGGUGUUAGGACCUAGCCUAGGAUCUCUAGAUGCACAUCUAGUCGGGAUCGUGAGAGUCAUAAGGGACAUGGUGUUCCUGGUGAGUGCCGAGUGUGAGAGGGAGAGAAAUGGGGUACCUUCACCCCUAGAGGUGGGAGCAGCAGAGCUGCUGGCCAUCGCGAGUUCUGUCGGUGUAGUCUGCGCAAGGCAGCGACGCGCAGUGCCGAGUCCGGUCGCCGGUGAGGUGGCGGUGGUGCUUCCCGCCGCUACUGCGCAACCUAGAUCGGUAGGUGUGUCGGUGGGGGCGGCUGGCUGCGGCGAACCUCGUGAGCCGAGCCGGGUCCCCCACCCUGUUUAUAUAGCGCAGCGCGACAGGGGCCCACCACCCAUUGAUAGGGUGAGCGCCCCCGAUCAGGGCACAGAUCAAGGUCCUGAUUGGCCUUUGGGCCCAUCAGGAAAGAGAUCAAUCUAACAUUCUCCCCCUUGAUCUCAUCAUUUACUUUUAGCUUUACACUUUUCACUUUUAUUCGUUUCAUCGUAGAUUAAUAUGUAGAGCAUGUUUCAUCGUCACAGCUUAAUUGCCGAUAGAAUAAACAGCUACAACACACCUCUCUAUUUUGAAACAAUUCUUUUUCUUUUGGGCCUUAUCCAAUCCAGGAAUCAUAGGCUUUCCCUUAAACCCAUGCCGGCUAAGUGUUCUCUGAACACAUUGGGAGGUAAGCCUUUCGUGAGCGGAUCCGCAAGCAUAUCUUUUGUUCUUAUAUGCUCGAGACUUAUAGUGUGAUCCUGGAUUCUGUCUUUCAUAACAUAAAACUUUAUCUCAAUGGCUUUGGAAGCAUUGCUUGAUUUGUUGUUGUGAGCAUAGAAUACUGCUGGUUCAUUGUCACAGUACAUCUUUAGUGGUCUGUGAAUACAGUCAACCACUCUCAAUCCGGGUAUAAAUUUCUUUAGCCACAUUGCCUGCCCCGUGGCCUCAUGACAUGCUAUGAAUUCUGCAUGCAUCGUUGAUGACGCAGUUACUUUCUGUUUCGAGCUUUUCCAUGAGAUAGCUCCUCCUGCGAGAGUGAAUACGUAUCCAGACGUGGAUUUUCUAUCAUCUUUGUCUCCCGCAAAGUCUGCAUCUGAAUACCCUUUUAUCUCUAGGGAAUCAGAUCUCUUAUAUGUAAGCAUGAGUUCUUUUGUGCCUUGCGCGUAGCGCAACGCCUUCUGUACCAUCUUCCAGUGUUCUAUACCUGGAUUACUUUGAUAUCUACCGAGAACCCCGGUGACAAAAGCUAAGUCAGGGCGAGUGCACUCUUGGGCAUACUGUAAGCUUCUGACAGCUGAAGCAUAUGGAACCGCUUUCAUUUGAUCGAUCUCGUACUGGUUCCUGGGACAUUGAAAAUUCCCAAAACUGUCGCCCUUGACUAUAGGAGCAGGUGUGGCCUUACUCGCAUGCAUAUUGUACUUCUUUAGAACCUUUUCUAAAUAUGCCCUUUGCGAUAAUCCAAGGACCCCAUUCAAUCUAUCUCGGUGAAUUUCUAUGCCCAAAACAUAUGUUGCUUCACCAAGAUCCUUCAUAUCGAAGUUUGAGGACAAGAACUUCUUUGUCUCUUACAGUAGACUGAUAUCACUGCUUGCAAACAAAAUAUCAUCCACAUACAGGAUUAGGAAAAUGUAUUUCCCAUUUUUGAACUUUGCAUAGACACAAUUGUCCUCUAUAUUCUCUUGAAACCCAAAUUUCUUUAUUAUAUCAUUAAACUUUAGAUACCACUGCCUAGAGGCUUGCUUUAAUCCGUAAAUGGAUUUCUUUAGACGACAUCCCAUAUUCUCUUUGUCUUCCAUGACAAAACCCUUUGGUUGUUUCAUGUAGAUAUUUUCUUCUAAAUCCCCAUUUAGAAAUGCCGUCUUUACAUCCAUCUGAUGUAACUCUAAAUCAAAAUGUGCAACUAGUGCCAUUAUGAUUCUGAAGGAGUCUUUACAUGAGACAGGAGAAAAAGUCUCAUUAUAAUCUAUUCCUUCUCUUUGUGUAAAACCUUUUGCCACAAGUCUCGCCUUAUACCUUUCUAUAUUCCCUUUGGAGUCACGUUUAGUCUUGUAGACCCAUUUACAGCCUACUGUUUUGGCUCCUUUAGGAAUCUCCUCAAGUUCCCAAACAUUGUUGGAACUCAUCGAUUUCAUCUCAUCUUCCAUGGCCUCUAGCCACUUCGUUGAGUGAACACUUUUCAUGGCUUCUUCAUAUGAAGUGGGAUCACCUUCUAUAUGAACUUCUUUUGUAUUAUAAACUUUAUAACAAUCAGGGAUAGCUGAUUUUCUGACCCUUUGAGACCUUCUAGGCCCCUCACUUUCGGGCACAUUCUGUGCCUCUGCUUGUGGCACACUGUUCAUAGGUGGCUACUGCAACUCUUCCUCGUGUGUAAUGAUGGGUUCAGUUGGCUCCUGAAGGACAGGUUCCAAAACUUCACUCAUCGUUUCUACGGGUGGAAUCACAGCAGGUGCCUGCACCACAAUAUCAGGGACUGUAGCGGGUGCUUGCACCACGACCUCAGGAACUAUUGGUGCGGGAAUAAUAGGUAGUGAGAAGUAUGGUUCCUGAAUCAUCGGAUUAGGUGCACACACCCGCUUCUCCUCAAGAUCAAUCUCUCGAGCUACCAUGCUCCCCCUCACCAUCUCAUCCUCUAAGAAAAUCGCCUGUCUCGUUUCUACAAACUUUGUGAAUCUGUCUGGACAGUAGAAACGAAAACCCUUUGAUUUUUCCGGAUAGCCAAUGAAGUGGCAACUUACUAUUUUGGGAUCUAGUUUCCCGAUGUUUGGGUUAAACACUUUGGCCUCAGCUGGGCUCCCCCAGACACGCAGGUGGUUUAGUGAGGGUACUCUUCCUGUCCAUAGUUCGUACGGUGUUUUGGGCACCGACUUACUUGGCACUCUAUUUAGAAUGUGAAUGGCGGUCUUCAACGCCUCCAUCCACAGUCCCAAUGGUAAGGUGGAAUAGCUCAUCAUGCUGCGCACCAUGUCCAUCAGUGUACGGUUACGCCUUUCAGCUACUCCAUUUUGCUGAGGCUCGCCCGGCAUCGAAUACUGGGCUAUUAUGCCAUUUUCCUGCAAAAACCUUGCAAAAGGUCCAGGAACUUGGCCAAAUGGGGUAUGUCGACCAUAGUACUCCCCCCCACGGUCUGAUCUUACUACUUUGAUUCUUUUGUUAUGCUGAUUUUCAACUUCAGCUUUAAAUAUCUUAAAUUUAUCCAACGCUUCUGAUCUUUCUUUGAUUGGAUAAAUGUAACCAUAACGGGAGUAAUCAUCUGUGAAUGUUAUGAACAAGUCAUAACCAUCCACGCUUUUCACAGGAAAAGGUCCACAAAUAUCAGUGUGGAUUAUCUCUAAAACUCCUGUGCUACGUUUAGCGCCUUUUUUAAUUUGCUUUACAAAUUUUCCUUUAAUGCAAUCAACGCAUUGUUCUAAGUCUGAGAACUCUAAUUGAGGAAGAAUUUCAUUCUUAACUAGUCUUUCUAUUCUCCCCCUCGAAAUAUGGCCUAAACGACAGUGCCAUAAUUUCGACGAUAUUUCAUGAGUUCUCUUUCUUUUCUUUGUUUCUUUUUCUGAUGAGGAUACAUUCAUAUUCACAUCACACACAGAAUUAACUUUUUCACACAAUGAUAAUAAAUACAACUCAUUGUGAAGGAUGGCAACACCAACACAUGCAUUAUCGAACCAAAUGGCACACUUUCCAUUUCCAAAAUGACAUUCAUAACCAUCAUGGUCCAAACGUGAAAUACUUAUUAAGUUUCUGUGUAAUGAAGGAACAUAAAGCACAUCUCUAAGUACAAGCAUGAAACCAUCAACUAGCUCUAGAGAGACAUCGCCAACAGCUUCAACUUCUGCUUGGACUCCAUUUGCGACUUCAACGCAUCUUUCGCUUCUUUGCGUAGUCCUUGUCGAAUGGAAUCCCUGUAAAGAAUUUGCAACAUGAACAGUUGCACCUGAGUCAAUCCACCAAGUAGAUUUCGAAUACUGUGUAUACAAGGAUUCAUUUACAAAAGAAAUAGUAUUCUCACCUCUUUUUGCCAUUAUUGACUUUAACCAGUUGGGGCAGUCUUUCUUGAAGUGCCCCUUUUUCUUGCAAUGUAGACAUUGAUCUUUGUCUACUGUGAGAGGCUUUUGGUGAUUCUGCUGCAUAGGAGCUUUUCCACGUGCCUUGAAAGAGGGGUUAGCAAUCUUUUUCCUGUUAUCCUUCACAUAGUGCAAUGAGCCACCAUGUGAGGAUCUAAGUCUGUCCUCUUCCUGCAUGCACAUGGCUAUCAUUUUCUCCAUGUCCCACUGUUCUGGCUGCAUGUUAUAAUUGACAACAGAAGUGUCAAACUCUUUAGUCAGAGAAGCAAAAACCAAAUGCAUAAUGUGCCCAGGCUUGAGCUCAAGAUCCAUAGGCUUCAGCUGUGCUGCCAAGUUAUACAUCCUCAUGAUGUGAUCUCUUAUGCCAGUCCCUCCGCCAUUGUACCUCUCUGUGGCCAGCUGCUUGAACAGCUGGGUAGCAUAUAUCUUUGAGGAACCAGUGAACUGAUUCCUUAUCUUGUCGAGGUACUCUGAAACGGAGUCACACUCUGCGAUCGAGCCCAAAAUGGCAGGCUCAAUCGUAUUCUUUACCAAAGCCAUACAUUUCUUGUUGGCAGUGGUCCACUGUUUGUUUUCAAGGGUGUAUGCCAACUCCAGUGGAGCAUAGUCCCUUUCCUUUUGCUGCCAUGCAGCAUCAUCAUCACCAUCAGCCCUCACUGGCUUCUGUGGAGCUUGUGGCUGCGGUGUGGUCAGCACCCAGUCAACUUCGCCACAAACGAAGGAGAACUCAAUCUUCUUCCUCCAUUCUGUAUAGUUGUUGCCUUUCAGAAUGGGUAUCUCUUUGAGACACGCCAUUAAGUUGAAUGAUCCUGAAAUUUACAAUCCAUAAGUGAGAUCAUAACAACAAUUGCAUGAUUUAUUUCCAACGUUGGUCAAAAAAUAAAACAUACAACUGCUGAUGCAAUUUAAAACUAUAUCACCGUUGGGCAGAAAAUAGAAAUAAAAGCAUCAAAAGAACUUUUUAAAUCAUGAUACAGUUAUUAACAACGUUGGUCAGAAAAUAACAGCACCAUGAUCUAAUUAACUUUAUCAUGCUCUCACAAAAUUUAAUUAUCUCGUUGGUUCAAAUUAAAUUUAAAUGGAGCAAUAAAUAUGACUUUUGCAGUGGAAACUGUGAAAAAAAUCUAUUUUCAGAAGCAAAACACUGUACAAACUUUAUUAAUCUCUAAUACAAAUUAUCCCGUUGGUUCAAAUUAAAUUAGAGACUAAAACUAUGCAAAAAACAUCAAUUAAAUGCUUCUGGAAAUAGAAAAAACAAACAAACAGGCGUUACUGUGCAAAACCCGAAAUUCGGCCCAGCCGCGAAAACGGCCCACAGCACGUUCCCGCGCGCGGCCUGCUCGCCCGACGCCAGCGGCCUGCUAACGCGGCCCACGAAGACGGCCCGCUAAGGCGGCUCGGCGCCAGCCUCUCGCGCGUCCGUGGUAGGCAGGCCACAACUUGGGCCUGGGCCGCAAAAGCGGCCUGCUGCCGCGUCCCGCCUGGGCCGAAUCUGGCCCGGACGAUCGCGACCGCCCGUCCAAAUCCGACGGCCAGGCGACAAUCACGGCGGAACAAAAACCGGCCGUCGGCCGGCUCCCUGAAACCCUAGCCCAUUCCAUUCUUUCCCCCGCGCGCUCUCGCCGCGGCGGCGGCGGCGGGGCUGUCUCUCCCGCGCCCGACGAUGGCCGGCGGCAGCGGUGGAGGGAUGGCCCCGCCGGCGCACGGCCGCGGCAGCCCCCUCCUCCCCCUCUUUUCUAUCCUCCCCCUUUCCUCCCUCCAAUACUUCGAAAGGUCGAGAUCCAGAGGGCCAUGGCGACCAUGGAGAAGGGCCGGCACCACCGCGGGUCCCCUCGCCGGCGCACGCGUCCACCCCGAGGGUUGGGCGCGCCGCCGUCGAGCGGUCCUUGGUGGUGCUGUUGGCCCCCCCCCCCCCCCCCGAGCCCCGAGCGGAUGCUCCGGCGGCUCGGGUGAACCUUUUCCCCGGCGAGCCCAAAGCUCGGCCGGCCUUUGCCGCUCGCCGUCGUUGGAUGUGCGGCGGUGAAGUCGACGACAGGUAAGUCUCCCGGCGUCCCUCUUUUCUUUAGAUCUAGGGUUAGGGUUAGGGUUUCUUUUUUCUGUUUCUUUUUCGAUCUUCUUCUUUUCUCGAUCUAUUUCUUUUUCCCGAUCUAGAAGAACGUCUACGAGGUGUCUGAUACCAUUGUUAGGACCUAGCCUAGGAUCUCUAGAUGCACAUCUAGUCGGGAUCGUGAGAGUCAUAAUGGACAUGGUGUUCUUGGUGAGUGCCGAGUGUGAGAGGGAGAGAAAUGGGGUACCUUCACCCCUAGAGGUGGGAGCAGCAGAGCUGCUGGCCAUCGCGGGUUCUGUCGGUGUAGUCUGUGCAAGGCAGCGACGCGCAGUGCCGAGUCCGUUCGCCGGUGAGGUGGCGGUGGUGCUUCCCGCCGCUACUGCGCAACCUAGAUCGGUAGGUGUGUCGGUGGGGGCGGCUGGCUGCGGCGAACCUCGUGAGCCGAGCCGGGUCCCCCACCCUGUUUAUAUAGCGCAGCGCGACAGGGGCCCACCACCUAUUGAUAGGGUGAGCGCCCCCGAUCAGGGCGCAGAUCAAGGUCCUGAUUGGCCUUUGGGCCCGUCAGGAAAGAGAUCAAUCUAACACGAGGCUCCAACCCUCGUCAAUGCGAAGAGUGCCGGAUUGCCUCCAGUAUGUUUGCUUGCACACACAGAGACCGAGUAGACAGCGGAGGAGGUCUUCUGCAACUCCGGUCGGGAAACACUCGCCAGCCGCGGCAGGAGGAGAUCAGCAUAGUAGAGAAUGACCAGGAGAGGUUUGCCAGCAGCGGCUCUGGAGGAGUUUUGUGAGAUGCAAGCGGCCAGCAGCCAGCCUUGCGUGAGAUGAGACAGAGAUGGAGAGCGCAGCCUUCCAUGAAAACAAAAAAGAAGCAAAGCAAGUGACGGGACCUCACGGAAUGAUAGAUAUCAAUAACUUGUAAACCUUUCAAUGGUAUAUAGCAAAGAAGUGAUCUUUUAAUGGUAUAUUGCUAAACUUGACAUCUUUCGAUGGUAGGUAUCCAAUUUUCCCAAAACUAAGAGCGGGAUUAGGGGAAGCAAUCCCCACAGGGUUUGAGUGGGAUGGGAGGGAUUCACUUAAUCCCUCCCUUGGAAAGGUUCCACUCAGGGAUUUAAUACAGGCCUACCGAACAAGGCCUUAUUGGGAACUUCUGUUUUUGUCUUUGUAAAAGAGAAAAGGUCCAUCAAAACCUUGAGGUUCUAAACAAAAAAAUAUAGGUUCUUAUAGGGUGACGGGGAUGCAGGAUUAUACUAUCAUGGGACAGUCACAUUUUAGCCCUCAAUUCCAAUUCAAGACAACUUUAGCGGCCCUCACCCCUUCCCGGAAACCGGACAGAAUACAACCCUUAGACAAACUAGUCUAUCAACCCGUGCUCCCGCACGGGUUAAUGCUUUUAAAAGUUAUUAUAUUUGAAAAUUAUUUAGAAAUUAAACUUCUAAUUAAUAGUUAAAAUUGUUUACCUAUUACUCUCUCAUUUUUUAAUCCUUCGACAUAAUACACAUAUAGAUGUCUACUUAUAUUUUUCUAGUUAUGAUUAUCUUUUAAUUAAUAAUUACUCUACACCUUUCAUCCACAUCCACACAUUUUUCAUUUUGUAUCGCACCUCCAAAUAUUAUGUUUAGCAUAAAAAUCAAUAUUUUUCAUCACUUCCUCACAUACAUGUAUAAAUGGUCUAUAUGGUGUCACUCAUCAUGUGUGUAUACCUUAACUUAGUAUUUGUAUAUUAACAAUAACAUAAUACGUAAUUCAGAAUUAUCUAUUAGCUUACUUUUGUACAUUUAUGUAUGAUGCACAUAAAGAUAAUUAGAUUACAAUUUACAUGCUUACUUUAGAUUAUUUUUAAUAACAACAUAUGUGGGUAACUUAGAUAUAAAUUUAGAAUGACAUUUUAAGUUAUGCUUUAUAAUGAUAUGCAUAAGUAAAUUGGAUUGGAAGAGCUCGGCAAUUUAUAUAAAGGUUUAGUGUUUAUUUUAGAAUGUUUUCAUAAUGAAAGUGGUGGGUAACUUUUUUCAACAUAUAACAGACCAAUGACUAUGAUUAUUAGAGUUUACUGGAUUGAUGUUUGAUAUUUCAAGUUUUUGUGAGAAUUUUUUAGGAUUUGUCUCUUUUCUAGCGUGUCUCGUAGAACCUAGUCUCCAAUGGAAAAGAAAGUGAGGCCACACUGCUACAAAACUAUUACCUUGAUCUACCUCUCAUUUGUUAAAUAUUCGAACACAAUAAAUCUAUAGAUAUAUACUUAUUAUCUUUAUCUGAUUGUGAUAGAUUUUAGUUUGUGAUUUCAUUUGUUAAAUAUUUGAACACAAUAGUUAUAUAGAUAUAUACUUAUUAUCUUUAUCCAAUUGUGAUAGAUUUUAGUUAGUAAUUACUCUAUAAUAUUUUCAUCCAUAUUUAUAAUCUUUAAGUUUUCACGUUGCAUCGCAAUUAUGCACUUCAAUUUUUUUAAUAAUGGAUCCUAAGUUUAAGCUAUACUUUUAACAUAGAAAUCAAUAUUCCUCAUCACUUGCUCCAUAUCUUUAUAAAUUAUGACACACAUCAUGCAUAGGUACCUUAAUAAUUAUAUCAUAUACUAAUAUAUGAUUUAGAACCAUAUAUUGGUCUAUAUUUUUAAGUAAGAUGAUUUGGAUUAAAAUUUAGGUUAUCUCAUGUUAUUUUUAAUAAUAGCACAUGUGGGUAAUAUAGAUGUACAUUUAUGGGUUACUUUAAGAUAUUUUUAUUAAAGAAUUAGUGGUGGACAAUUUUGUUACAAAUUUAGGAGGUAAUUCUAAAUUAUUUUUAUAAUAACAUAAGUGAGUAAUUUUGAUGAUGGACCUUGCUAAAGUACACCUCUUACCUUCUAGGAGGUAAGACGUGAAUUAAAUUUGGACCCUUGAUUAUUAAGAAAAAAUCCAAUUAGAAAAUAGAAAAAAACUACUAACCCACUUCUUUCCAACUACCGGUGACAUGUAUGCAUGCAUCCAUCCAGUCUUUAUCUCUUUAAAGUCCCGUCAGCAUGCGUGCAUAGCACCAUAAACAUUUCAAUUUGUUUCCACAAUUUUUUUCUCUACUACCGUGCAACGGCAUGUAGGUCCCAUGUCUGCCAUAUCUCAUAGUAUGAUUUUUAUCCGUCACAUCUGCACAUGUAUGCUAUUUCUGAUGUUGCUAACAAUUUAAUCUCAUGUCCAAGCAAUUUCUUGUUACAAUGUUAUGUAUGAUACAAUUGUCACUUCACCUAAAAAUUUGACCUGCCACGUCUCAUUUGAAAUAUGUUGUAUAUAACGCAAUAAUUACUUACCUAAAGAAAUAAUCUAUUAGAUGUCAGAAAAUAUAUUUACCUAUGUACAUUGCAACUCACAUGCAACCAUUAGUAUAUUUUUUUAAAAAAAUAGAUCAAGUACAUACGUGCAUCUAUCACAUAAUAGAAUUAGAUUUGCAUACAUAUUUUUGAAGUUUUUGUACACCUCACGUUUGGGUAGUUAGAUUAGGGGUUACUCACAUGCAACCAUUAGUAUAUUUUUUUAGAAAAAUUAGAUCACGUAUGUACGUGCAUCUGUCACAUAACAAAUUAGAUUUACGUAUAUCCAUUUUGAAUUUUUUGUACACAUCACGUUAGGGUAAGUUAGAUUAGGAGUUACUUUAGUUCAUUUUAUAUAAUGGUAUGGGUGGGUAAUUUAGAGGUAGAUUUAAGGGUUACUUUACACUAUUUUUAUAAUGGCAUAAGUGGGUAAUUUUUUUAGAAAAUAUAAUAGAUCCAAUGGCUAUGAUGAUUCGAGUCUACAAGUUGAUGGCCAGAUGUUUUGCUUUUUUGUGAGAAUUUUUAGGAGUUCUCUCUUUUUCUAGAGUGUCCACCUAGGAUCCUAGGUGGCUUCACCUGGAGGCUUCAAAAGGAACCUCCAAUUAGUAAUAGUAAGAUUUAGCUGGAUGCUUGUGGUGGGAGGCCAUCUGCUCCAUUCUUUGCUGCAACCGGAAGGAUGCAUGAGGAUGCUGGUGCAUAAUGGCAUGUCCUGGAGCUGCAAAGAAUUGACGGUGUUAAUUUGAAUCCAUUUAUUUGCUUCAUAUCAUGGCAAGAUGAUGAUACUCUGGUCUGUGGGCAAGAUGAAUGGAUCGUAAUUGUGUCAGGAAAACUGUACACAGCACUAUGCUAUUAUUGGUAAAACCAAUAAAGGAAAUAUAAUUGCUAAACAUAAGUAAAAUCAAAUAACACUAGCAUCGCACGUCACAUCCUACCACAAGAAGCAACAACUAGUACGUAAAUGAGGAUGGUCUUGUACUAGCUUAGUAGGAAAAUAAUUUGUUGUUCACCAUGUACACAAAUCAGUUACACGCGUCGGGUAUUGACAGGCCAUGCGGAGGAUUUGGGAGUUGGGACAUGCUAGCCUGGAGACCCGCGUGAUAUUCGCUUGGGCGCCAUAUUUGGUAGCCUUUCAUGGACUCCCCGCAUUUCUGCUGGCUGUUCUCGUGGAAUGAUACUAGUGAAACGACCGAGUAUCCCUUCCCGUGGUAGCCUGGUAGGCUAUGAUCCUGUCACCUUCUAUUCCUAGUGUCUACAUUUUUACUAGUGCGCCUUUCAUUCUUCUCUAAUUUGUGGUAGCAGGGUAGUGCCAAAUAAUGUCAAUAUCAAAUAUAUAAAUAUGCAGUGGUACUGGCCGAGCAUCUCUUUGUGCUACGUAUGUGCACCUUUUGCAUUUAUUAAUCAUACCGAUAUUCGAUACGGUUCCAUCUAAAAGCAAAGUAUCUUAGGUGGUGUUUGGAUAAGUAGUUUAUGGGCUAAACUUUAGCUCCUAAAAUUUAGUUCUGCUGGGCUGUUUGGAUCCAUGGACUAAAAUGGACUAAAGUUCAUAAAUGCUAUUCAACAAAGAUCCUUUUACCCUCCUUCCCUACCCUUCCUCUCCACCAGCUCGCAGGCAACUCACCGCCGCCGAGCUCCUCUCCGAGUCGCGUCCGCUCCUCGCCCUGCGCGCCGCCGCCGAGCACCUCCUCAUCGACCGCCUCUCGCUGCUGGACCCACCCGCCGCCUCCCCACCCCCCUUCAACUUCCUCGCUGCCACCUUCGGCUGCGCCGCCGACGAGGCCCGCAAGAUCUCCACCAUCCGCGACACCUUCCCCACGCCGCCCGGCGCGCCCCACCCCACCGCCGAGCUCCUCGUCCUCGUCGUCCUCCCUCCUAUCAGGGGCCGCGGCGCUCUCAUCCCCGCCGGCGGCCGCGACCCUAGCGGCCGGCGGCAUCGAGGCCAGCGGCGGCGGGGUCAAGGCAGAGACGGAGGACGAGGUGGCGGUGGGGGCGAGGCGGAGGUGGAGGAGGAGGUGGCCGGCGGCGGCGGGGGCGAGGCGGAGGCGGAGGUGGUGGAAGUCGAGGCGGCGGCGUCGUCAUCGUCGUCGCCAGCGACUGCGGCGGAGGCUGGGGUCUCCCGCGGACUCGCCGCUGCCCGCUGCGGCAAGAUCCCGGGACGACGCCGACAAAUCUCCGCGCGAGGGAGGCGAUGGGCGAUGACGAGCAGGCGGGCGGCGAUGGUGGCGGGCGAUGAGGGGGAGGCGACGGGCGGCGAGGGAGGCCGGUGGGCAGGGGCGGGCGGCAACGGACGGGAGGGUGCCGGCGGGCGGGAGGCGGAGGAGAGAGAGGAAAGGGGCAGGGGGUGGAAAAUGGUGGGGAGGAGCACUUUUAGCCCCUUUUAGGGUCUCUUUGGGAGCUAAAGUUUUCAAACUUUAGCUCUUUGCCCCUUUUUGCCCACCUGUUUGGAUCCCAAGAGCUAAAUUUUGAGCUAAAAGUGCAAAGCUAAAAUUUAGCCCUUGGAUCCAAACAGGCCCCUACAUUGGUUUACUAUCUGCAGGAUAAGAUUUGUCACACGGGUUUCGCUUCCCCAGUUCUAUGGAGAAUUUAAGGAAUAAUUAUGCAGUCUUCAUCUUCCACCAGUUUGAACUGAUUCUAAUGCAACAAUUUCUAUCCUGUUAGCUGCUUGAAAAGACUUGGACAAUGAGAAUCUACUCGAAACAACAAGACAUCCAGUCAUCCGUGUGCAACUAGGAUGAUGAUAGUUAGCAAAGAGGGACAGUGCAUUGACAAAAUAAAAAGUAUAUUCACCAACACAACAAUCAUUCUUGAUUUCUUUUAAGGACCAUGUUCAUUUUUGUGGCUACCCAGUCCAUUAAUCUCGAUAUAUAGUUCACCUAAUUAUGUUUUCCACUUAUCAUUAUCAUCAGUACUACGAGCAUGUCUUCCUUGUCCUCUGCAUCUUUUCACGUGGACAGUGUUUGAAUUCAUUGACUUGCAUCUCGUAUCAUCGUAACAGGAUGAUAGUACUCUAUGCAAGGUGAAUGGAUCAUAUUCAUCGCAGGAAAACCAGACAGCACUUUCGAUUGCAUACAGCAAGCUACAGGAUAUGAUCCAGGCAUCUAGGAAGAGACAACAACUAUAGCUCAGUAAUAUAACAAUUUGUAAUUUACCAUGUCCAGAUCGGUUGCAUGCAUCGAUGCUCAGUAAUAAGGCCAUUUUGAGCAUUUUGGAUGUUGGAACCUAUCGGGGAGGCCAGGCAAGGACAGCGAUGGCAAGGCCGUGAGUGGUUGAGGACGCUCCAGUUUGAUCCAGGAGGCUUGCCUGAUGUUAGCUUGGACAUUUUUCAUGGCCUUAUAUCGACCCCCCGCAUUCUCUUCUCAUCACUAUCCAAGCCUAAAGGUGAGAGUGGAAUAACAGAGAGUGCAUGUUCUUGUAGUAAGCUAUUUCCCGGCACCUUCUAUUCCUGUGGUGUCCACAUUUUUACUAGUGCACUUUUCUUUCUUUUCCAAUGUGUGCUAGAAGGGCAGUGGUAAAUAAUGCCAUAUAUAUCAAAUAUAUAAAGGCGCAUUGGUACGGGCCAAGCAUAAUAUCUUCGUGCUACAUGCGUGCAUCUAUUGCGUUCAUUAGUAAUGCUGAUAUUUGAAAUCGUCCAUCCAUAAGCAAAAUAUCUUACAGUGCUUGUCUAUCUGUCGGUUAUGAUUUGUCACAUGGUUUUGCUUCCCCAGUUCUAUGCACAAUUUAAAUAAUAAUUAUGCAGUCUUCACUUACCACUUGUGUCCUGCUAGCAACAAGACAUCGAGUCAUCUUGAAAACACUUGAACAAUGAGAAUCUACUUGAAAUGAAACAAUGAGAAUAUGCUUGAAAACACUUGAACAAUGAGAGUCUACUUGAAAUUAAACAACAAGACAUCUAGUCAUCUUUGUGCAACUAGGAUGAUGACACGUAGCAAAACGGAAAGUGCAUUGACAAAAAAAAGGAUAUUCACAAACACAGAAAUCAUUAUUUAUUUCUUUUAAGCACCAUGUUCAUUUUUGUGACUCUCCAGUCCAUCUAUCUUGAUAUUUAGUUCCGCUAAUUGUGUUUUCCACUUAUAAUUGUCAUCAGCACUGCAACUAUAUAAAGUGUCGUUCUAAUCCUUUCAAUUGGAAAAUCAUACCCUCUUGAAAAAUAACCGUAGCUCAGAGACAGCUAUUAUAUUGUGUUAGCCUCCAAACGUCAACCUUUGUUUGCAACGGCAGCAAGGCUGGGCAAUUUGGAAACACAAUAGAGAAUCAUUGCACUGGGAACACUGGGAACACUGAACUGGGCAGCUGGUGUCGAUCAGAUAAAUGUAUUGUCACUAAGGCCGCUUCCAAGGGUGCAGCAGGAGUCAUAUACUUCCUUCUCGCUCUCUAGCUAGCUCAGAAGCAGAAGUACUGAAGAGGCAAGCCCAAACAAGCCAGUCGAACAAGGACGUGUUGUCCUUGCGGUAGGCUAUUUCCUGGGACCUUCCAUUCCUAUAUUUAGGAAGAUUUGUCAAUACAUUCCUACUAUUGGACCUUCGUUCCUCUCCAUUGUAUAUAAGUAUGAAAUAUAUAAAGGUACAAUGGCACUCGCAAAGCUUCUAAUGGCACCGAAGCGCAUCUUACAUUCAAUCAAUCAUGCUGAUAUGUGAAUCCCAGUCUUAAAAGGUUCCAUGCAUCUUCCAGCUAAAUAUAUUGAUGUUCUCGUCAUGUUCAGAUAAAGAUCAGGGUACCCAAAAUCUAGAAUUAAUUUUUCAUUCUACAGUUUAAUGGAUAAUCUUAUAAAUAAUUGUGCCAUAUGACAGACAUGUUUAAAAAGUCAAACAUGCGGCUUAAAAUAGGUUUAUAAUGGGGUUUUUCUAGUUUGAUCCAACAAACUCAAUUUGCAUUUUUCUAGUUUGAUCCUCCUGCACACAGCCGAGGAGCCACCCCUCGUGGCAGCCAUGGCCGGCUACCUGCACAUCUCCCUCCUUGAUUGUGCUAUCAGGCCUUUGGACGAGGUUGAAGCAUUAGGAGUGAUUGCGGAGUAGAAAGGAAGGGGGCAGGAAAGGGAAGAAGCGGGAGGUUCAGUUCUGGGUUGACCACCCGCUAAGCAACCACUCGGAAAGAAUGUACGUCCCAAUGCCUCCUAUUCCCCACUGCUUUCAUGCACCCUUGUUUGGUCUGGUGUUCUCUCGUCCUUCUAUUUUCUUUCAUCUGCUUGUUGCAUGUUUUCCUUUUCAGCAGAAAAGUGUGAACAGCAAUAAUAGAGCAUGCUGCUAUUUGCAUUGGGCCCGGUGGCGCUACAUGUAGGCAAUGCACAUUGACGCAUUAUAUUGUUGCACCUUUUGACGCUCCACUAGUUGAAUGAUAUGUUACAGGAGUAGGUUGUGGAGUCAUAUCACAAGCCUGGAGAGGCUGUUGAUUCCAAUAACUCUUGUCUGUACAACCAUCUUCUGAUAAUAAAAAAACAAAAUGUUAAUUACUUGAACCGUAAAUAAUAUAUUAUUGCAAAUGGCUGAAAGGUGACCAAAAUGGUUCAGGGCAAUAGGUAGUUAGGUCUCCUUUGGUACAGCUCCAAGUUCUUGGAGCUGUUUUUGGUGGAGCUGUGCCAAAGGGCUUAAAUGGGAAUGGCUCCUAUGGAAAAACCAUGUGGAGCCAGAGCAGUUUUUCAACGCGCAAGAUGAAGCAGGUUUUCGUGGCUCUGUGCGGCUCCAUCCCGCACGCCAGCGAGCAUGUUACGUAAUUGCCCCUCAAGUUCGCUAAAUUUACGUCAAAAUUGCCACCGCAGACAGGCAGAAGCGUGUCGCUCCGUGCGGCUCCCUCUGUCGCGCCCCAUCCUCACGUGCGCUCCCUCUCUCCUCGCGCUCGCAGACAGAAGACGGCGGCCUUGCCCGCGGCGGAGCGGCGGUGGGGGAUCCGGCGCCUCCUCCUACGCCCCCGGGGUGACGGCUUGUCGUCGUCGCCGCUGCCGCUAUCACCACCCCCGCCCGCGGCGGAUGAGGGGAGGCGGAAGGGGUUCACCUCGGUGGCGCGGCGCGGGCUGGGGUGCAUGUUGGCGGCGGCCUCGCAGGCUUACGCACCUAGGGGGGGCAGCGGCGGCGGUGGCCGUGCGGUCGUCCAUGGACUGGCAUGGGCGGUGGCGGCAGAGGGGGAAGGAGAGGAGGAACGAGCGGGGAGGUGGCGGGAGGCGAUGGAAUGGGAGGCCGGCAGUGGGAGGAGGAUAACGAAGGAAGAGAAAAGGAUAAUGAAGAGAAAAGAAAGAAAGAAAAUAAAUAGGAAGAAAAUAAAAAAAGAAAAGGAAAAGGAAAGGGUAUUGUGGGUAAUUCAUCUUAUCUAACCAUUUUAAACUAUACGGAAGAGCCAUUUUGCCAAACGGUUUUCCAAAAGAGCUUCAACUCCAUCAGAUAAGCCACUCCACCAGAAGAGCUAGAGUCGGAGCCGUUUUCAGAGGAGCCGAAGCCCUGCCAAACUGGCUCUUAGAGUGCUGGCCUGUCAUUUUUUGGAUGUUAUAUAUCAAACAUCCCUGAUUUAUUUAGUGGAAAAUCGAGUCAAUUAGAAUAGUAUUAACGACAGUUAGUUAUCCAUGACAGCGUGUAUAUACAUGGAUUCCAUCCCAGCUAGGCUAGUUGUGCACACUAACAUUGACUCGUCCUCUUUGGGUAUUCCAUCACACCCUGACACACAAUCUCUCCCUUGUUCUAAUUCCUUCAGUUGUAACAAGUGGAAUGAUGGAUUUGUUCUAUUUAUUUCUUUUGAUUCAAUUGUUUUGCUCAAAUAUGGUGAAGAGGAUCAACGGGGAUCUGCCAGGCGGCUCAUUUGCACUUGAUUUUUAGUUUUGGUUUCAACGGUGCACUGAUAGUUCUGUGUAAACCGAGUACGAGGGAUGCUCUUGAUUGUUGUGGUUCAUACUUGGCAAUCGUGAGAUGGAUGGUUCUACAUCUUUGUACACUGAUAGCUUUAGUCUAUAUCACUGUAUUUCCCAACGGUAAACUCUGUUGCUUUCACCAUUUUUUCUUCCUUUGGUCAUCUCUCAUCCUUUUCUGCUCCAAUUGUUGAGUUGCUGCUACUUGGGAGAACGGUAGAGCUAUAUAUAUCUGCAUGAAACAUUUGUUUACUCAAUAUAAUGGAAUAU
rnacentral:lncRNA from 1 species